GCCAGGUAUGAUAGCACAUGCCUGUGGUCUCAGCUACAUGGGAGGCUGAGGCGGGAGGAUCACUUCAGCCCAGGAGUUCUGGACGAUAGUUCACUAUGCCAACUGGGUAUUCACACUAGGUUCGACGUCAGUAUGGUGACCUUCUGGGAGCAGGGAAACUCCGGGUUGCCCAAGAAAGGGCGAAUCGGUUCAGGUCAGAAACAGAACAGCCAAAGCUCCCAUGCUGCUCAGCAAUGGCAUUCUGCCUGUGAAUAGCCACUGCACUCCGCCUGGACAACACAGCAAGACCUCGCCUCUA
rnacentral:SRP_RNA from 1 species